GACGAACGCUGGCGGCGUGCCUAAUACAUGCAAGUCGAGCGGACUGAAUGGGAGCUUGCUCUUGUUCGGUCAGCGGCGGACGGGUGAGUAACACGUGGGCAACCUGCCCGCAAGACCGGGAUAACUCCGGGAAACCGGAGCUAAUACCGGAUAACACCGAAGACCGCAUGGUCUUUGGUUGAAAGGCGGCGCAAGCUGCCACUUGCGGAUGGGCCCGCGGCGCAUUAGCUAGUUGGUGAGGUAACGGCUCACCAAGGCGACGAUGCGUAGCCGGCCUGAGAGGGUGACCGGCCACACUGGGACUGAGACACGGCCCAGACUCCUACGGGAGGCAGCAGUAGGGAAUCUUCCGCAAUGGGCGAAAGCCUGACGGAGCGACGCCGCGUGAGCGAAGAAGGCCUUCGGGUCGUAAAGCUCUGUUGUGAGGGACGAAGGAGCGCCGUUUGAAGAAGGCGGCGCGGUGACGGUACCUCACGAGGAAGCCCCGGCUAACUACG
rnacentral:rRNA from 1 species